GUGGCAGUGGGUUCAAUUCAGCUGUUCCCGAAUCUAAUCUGUGGAAGUAUCGAAGAAAAAGCUCAUGAAAUGGAAGAACUGAAGAAAUUAUGAGUGAUAAUGGCAUGAACUCUUGGUGAAAGGGCCACAGAAAAGUGCGUCAGCUAGCUGAGCUGCCCAUGCUUCUCCCUCCAAACUUUCUUGGUCUUUACACACCUCCUGCAUGGUUCUGUUUCUGUUUUUGCUUGCUGAUGGCAUUGGUGGCACAGCGAAGCAACAGCUACGAUUAGAAUCGGUGUGGCUGGCUGGUCCAUCUAACACGCUUGUAUUUGUAUAAUUUUUUAAUGUAUUUUAUGAUUUUUUUUGUGGGUU